rnacentral:rRNA from 1 species
GAUCCUGGGCUCAGGAUGAACGCUAGCUACAGGCUUAACACAUGCAAGUCGAGGGGCAGCAUGGUCUUAGCUUGCUAAGACUGAUGGCGACCGGCGCACGGGUGAGUAACACGUAUCCAACCUGCCGUCUACUCUUGGACAGCCUUCUGAAAGGAAGAUUAAUACAAGAUGGCAUCAUGAGUCCGCAUGUUCACAUGAUUAAAGGUAUUCCGGUAGACGAUGGGG